rnacentral:rRNA from 1 species
UAGGGAAUCUUCCACAAUGGGCGCAAGCCUGAUGGAGCAACACCGCGUGAGUGAAGAAGGGUUUCGGCUCGUAAAGCUCUGUUGUUGGAGAAGAACGUGCGUGAGAGUAACUGUUCACGCAGUGACGGUAUUCAACCAGAAAGUCACGGCUAACUACGUGCC